rnacentral:lncRNA from 1 species
AUGAAAAGGGAAAAGGGGCAGGCCCCCGGCAGGGCUGGUGGGCAUGCCUGUCGCCUCCAGCCGCGCGGGGCGGGUGGGCGCCCUGCCCCGGAGGCCAGAAAUUCUACAGAGGGGCCCCCUGACCUCGCGGCCCCGGCCAGCCGGUCUCAGACCACAACAUCCCUUCCCCCUGGAGAUUCCGGGCACCAGGUGUUAACCCGAGCAGAGAAAGGGUGGGGUGGGGGUCAGACGCGGCGACUUUCUGGAAGAGGAAGCAAACACAAUCUAGGAUGUGUGUGUGUGUGCGUGUGUGUCUCAUGCGCGCGUGUGUCUUGCGCAGGGGCGUGCCCCCCCCGGGUGCCACUGGCCCCCCAUCAUUGCUUUGCCGGGAACGGUGGGGUGGGGGGAGGUUCCGAGGGGCGCCUCGAGGGUGAUCGAGCGACCCAACGUCCAAGGCCAGAGGUGGAGGGGAGGGCCUUGGACAGACAUCUUGGUGAGGCUCGAGGAAGGGCAGAGGGCAGGCGCGGUUCAGGCUCCCGCCGCGGCCCGGCAGGGGUUAAGGCUGAAGCCGGGCGAGGGCGAGGGCGGGGGUGCGGGGGGGAGGGGCAGAGGGAGGCGGAGGAGGGUCAGGCCCCGCGGCCCCGCGCUCGGCCCCGUCCCUCCCGCCGGCCCGUUCGCCGGGCGGCCGUCGCCGGGGCAACGAGCGCCCGCCCCAGCCCGCGGCGCGCCCCUGCCCCGCCCCCGCCCCGCCCGCCCGCGAAUGGAACGCUGUGUGUCAAACCGGCCGCAGCGCGAGGCCGGCGCGCGGGGUCGGCGGCGGUGGCGGCGGCGAGAGCGAGCUCGGGCUCAGGCGCAGGCCCAGGCCAGGCGGGAGCGGCCGCAGCGGGAGCGGCAGCUCCAGAGGCGCCGGCCCAGCGGCCCUGCAGGCCCGGAGCGGCAGCCGCGGGCGCCGGGGACCCAGGGGCGCGGCGACCGGCCCCGGCGCGCACCCGCCGCCCCUCCCCCCCGUCACUGGCGGCCGCGCAACUUGCGGCCAAACUUUCCCCGGCCUCCCGCGCUCGGAUGGCUGCCCGCUGA